rnacentral:misc_RNA from 1 species
GAUGAAGAACGUAGCGAAAUGCGAUACGUAAUGUGAAUUGCAGAAUUCAGUGAAUCAUCGAAUCUUUGAACGCAUAUUGCGCUCUCUGGUAUUCCGGAGAGCAUGCUUGUUUGAGUAUCAGUAAACACCUCAACUUCCAUAUCUUUUUUUGAAAUGGAAGUUGGACUUGAGUGAUCCCAACGCUUUUCCUCACCGAAAAGUGGCGGGUUACUUGAAAUGCAGGUGCAGCUGGACUUUUCUCUGAGCUAUAAGCAUAUCUAUUUAGUCUGCCUAAAAAACAGAUUAUUACCUUUGCUGCAGCUAACAUAAAGGAGAUUAGUUCUUGUGCUGACUGAUGCAGGAUUCACAAAGACAGCUUCGGCCGACUUUGUAAACUCGAUCUCGAAUCAAGUAAGACUACCCGCUGAACUUAAGCAUAUCAAUAAGCGGAGGA